ensembl:lncRNA
AUUUCAUGUUUACAUGUACACAUAGAAAAAUUAUUUUGUGUUUUAUUGAUGUGUCUGAGAAAUUUAUCAGGUGAUGUCAUUGUAGCAAACCAUCCCAGCCGGAAGCCUCGAAUCACAAGGUGUUAAAGGACUUUGGUCACUAGAAAUUGCUGUGUCUUGUGAGAGGUGCCUCUAAACCACAAGUCAGCCAGACAGACAGAGAUGCACAGGUGACUUCUUCUCAGUCUCUACAGCUGCUGUUAGAGAAACUACUAUGGAGGCGUUUGGUCUGAGGAGGGCCCAGUCGUUGAAGAGUCUUUCAGGGGUUCAGGAGAGGUCAUGGGUCGUGCCAGGUCCCACCCGCUGGGAAAGGAAGUCUGUGUCUCAGCUGGUACAACAUUAUCAAAGCUGUGCUGAUCUAAGGAGUACUGAAAAAGUGGGGCACAAAUCCCAGGUGUCACAAAGCUGUGUGGACGGUCAAUGGAGAAGGCCGGAGAGCAGGGACAGCGUGGCCCUCUGGGAAUCGGGAAGAAACCCUUUUCUGUCCAGAAGUCGCUCCAUGGACGUUCUCCCCCAGAGGGAGAGUUCAGGUACUAGAGCUCUGUGUGCCCUGUUUGAGUCCAAGGCCACCCUGAAGCAGAACUUCCACAGCAGCCCUCGGCUGAAUGUGAUGCCUGCUCCAGGCAGUAAAACAGGAAGAGACUGCCCCCUGCAGGAGUGGAGAAGUCACAACACCCCAUUGAAGGAAACCACUGUUCAGAGAAGCUCCCAGACAGACAGAGGAAAGGCAACGAAUGGGUUCCCAGAGCCCUAUGACAGGACAUCCAGAUACUCACACGAUGAUAAAAUUAGUCCAUCACUGACUAAAGGGGGCACCCCAUCAAGAAGAGCUAGAGACAGGAUAUCUAAUUCCUCCUCAGUGAGAGACAGAUCAGCUCUCUAUCUGUCAGGUGCAGACGCUAUCGACUCCACGGGAGGCUCAACACAACCAGUGAGUUCCUGAAAUGCCUAUCAUUCCUCACCACACAUUGAAGUCAAAGACUUCAAUAGGGAAUGACCACUGCGCCCUGUCACAAUAGGAGCUGCUCAGUGAGCUCAAUGAGAAUCCACUGCAUUCUAUAUUUUAAAUGUUGAUCUCAAUUUUAAUUUGUAUUCCUGUUUUUUCAACAGCAAUUCACUGGUACAGCAGGAACAAGAGCUAAAGUGAAUAAGGUACUGUCUUUUACUGUAAAGGUUUCACAUAAUAAUGUGGUUGCUGUUGUUUCUGUUUUAGUUCACCAUUUUACUUUGCAUGACCAAAGACACGGUUAAUGUUCCAGAAGCAACAUGACUGACAUGAUACACCAUUUACUUUAAGAUAAAAUAAAAACAAACAGACAACCUUGCUCCUUCAUGUACAAUAUUUUUUUCCCAUGGCUACCAAGUAGCUGCUGAAAAUAUUUGAGCAUUUCGCAGCAGAGUUUGUGGAGAGCAAAUCAGAGUACAAUGACUUUGGACUUACAUUUUUACAGCAGGUCACUAGACUUAAUUAAUGCUACUAUUGCAAUGUCUGCACAGUCUAUGAACAAGCAACUGCUUGGUAAAAUAUUAAACGCUGAUAUUACAUUACUGUCAUAUUCACAGCUUGUUUCUGAUGUCCCUGAGUAGCCAAAAAGUUAAUGCAGGUUUUAGUUGAUGACUAAAUUACUGAAAGUCAACUCUACUGCCACAUUUCAUUAUCGGUCUUUUAAAACAAAAGCUAUACUAUUAAUCUGCUGAACAGUUAAAAAUGGAAAACUGUGGAUUAUGUGAUUUAUAUUUCUAGAUGCUUCUGCAAGGUAGAAUUAGGCAGAGGGUAGAAUUCCGCAUAUGAAAGUAAUAAGGGUUUCAGUUAUUCUGUAGAUUUUGGGGUGUCUGUGUUUGUCUGUCGGGUGGUAGAUGUGGUUUAAAUGACUAACAAAACUGCCUAUAUUCAAAGGAAGAAUAAAAAAACUUGGAACUUGGAGCUUCCUUGCCACUAAUUAAUAUGUCGGUGACCGCCUGUAUUUUUCACACUGAAAGUAAUUUAUUACACUCACAGUACAGAGCGGUUGUCUGUGUGAUGUCUGUCUACUAACAACUAUGAAGUAUUUUAUUAACGCUGGUGUGAGGAUGGUUUGCAGUGAAAAACGUCAAUCGAGCAUAGUGAAAGGUAAAGUAUGGCUUCACUUACUAAAUGCAUGAGCAUCUAAUAUUUGCAUAUACCUUUAUAAAUACUGUUUCUUUAGUACUGAAUCCUGACAUUAUUACUCC